rnacentral:rRNA from 1 species
UGCGUAGACGGUUAGAUAAGUCGGAUGUGAAAGCCCCGGGCUCAACCUGGGAAUUGCAUUCGAGACUGUCUGGCUAGGGUGCGGAAGAGGGAAGCGGAACUUCCGGUGUAGCGGUGAAAUGCGUAGAUAUCGGAAAGAACACCAGUGGCGAAAGCGGCUUCCUGGUCCAGCACCGACGUUCAGGCACGAAAGCGUGGGGAGCAAACAGGAUUAGAUACCCUGGUAGUCCACGCCAUAAACGAUGAGAACUAGACGUUGAGAGGGUAAGCCUCCCAGUGUCGUAGCUAACGCGCUAAGUUCUCCGCCUGGGGAGUACGGCCGCAAGGUUGAA